rnacentral:rRNA from 2 species
GGAUGCGAUCAUACCAGCACUAAAGCACCGGAUCCCAUCAGAACUCCGAAGUUAAGCAUGCUUGGGCAAGAGUAGUACUAGGAUGGGUGACCUCCUGGGAAGUCCUCGUGUUGCAUUCU